UUUAACCUAAUUUUUCCUCUCCCCCUCUCAUGCCUCAAUCGCCGUCUCCGUCUCUCUUCAUCCUGUUCACAACCAAAAGCAAAUUCAAAAUGAUUUUCCAACAACACACGGUGGCCGGUAAUCGCCCUAUGGCGGCGACUGCGACGGCCGGAGGUCAAAACCUCUGAUUGAAACCUCUAACCCAAUCGUUACGUUGCCCUGACUACGAAAAUCUCCUCAGUUUGCUUUGAUUCUCUCUCAUAUUCUUAUAAUCGGGCCAACAAGGAAACCCUAGAUCUAACCAAAAAUCCAAUUAAACACAGACGGUGAUGACAUAGAGAACGAGGCCAUGGGGGAAGGAAAUAGGAGAUCUCGAUCUUCAUGGUGGUAACCCAAACACAGAGAAGAAGAAUAGUCAAAGAGUUCGAAGGGUUUACCUGGAGCAACGCACGAGAUUGCAGAUUGAGAAGGCCGCAUAUGUGGUAAUAUUAGGUGAUGAUUGAUGAAGUUGUUGAUCUGAAGUUCGUGGCCUCUUGAUUCUUCUCCCGAAAACUGAAGAAGAUUUUUGUGAAAGAUUGAAGACCGCAGGGUUGAAGAAGAUGGUGAAAUUGAAGUAUUGAAGAACAGAUGAAUGAUUCUGAAUUCUUUUCUUAUUGUUUUCUUGCAGGGACCGCGAAGGUUGAUGAUUAUGAAGAGAAAGGAUUGGAGAUUGUGGAGAGGAUAAUUCUCAGAAUUUUGUUGAAGUGAUGAUGGAUGAGUGAUGUUACAGAGAAGAUGAUGGAGAAUUGAGAGAAGAGUGAAGAAAAUGGUUUCUGAUUGAAUGUGAAGAAAGAGGAUUGAAGAAACCUGGAGAGUGAAGAUCCCAAAAAAAGAUCAAUGAUGAAGAUGCUGUUAUAUACAAAUUCCUCAGGCAGAUGUUGAACCCGAGGUCGCCGCACAAGGAGUGCCAAAGAAGAGAACAUUCAAGAGGGUGUAUAUAUUUGUUUUUCAAUCAUUUUAUUUUAGGAUCAGAUCUAUCUAAUGGUUUGAAAAAAUGUGAAGAAAAUGAGUUUGAAGAUUUUUUUAUGUAUUUUAUAAUUGUAAUCCACAUCUCAAUUUGAUUCAUUACCAUUAACAA